rnacentral:rRNA from 1 species
UACGUAGGUGGCAAGCGUUGUCCGGAUUUAUUGGGUUUAAAGGGCGCGUAGGCGGGUUCCCAAGUCGGUGGUGAAAUCUUUCGGCCCAACCGGAAAAGUGCCGCCGAUACUGGGAGUCUCGAGGGAGGUAGGGGUCGAUGGAACUUCCGGUGGAGCGGUGAAAUGCGUAGAUAUCGGAAGGAACGCCGGUGGCGAAAGCGAUCGACUGGACCUCUUCUGACGUUGAGGCGCGAAAGCCAGGGGAGCAAACGGG